CGGGAUCCGAGCCACGUCUGUGAGCUACACCAUAGCUUGUGGUAAUGCUGGGUCCUUAACCUGCUAAGCCAUGACGGGGACUCCUGGGCAAGUUUCUUACACCUCUCUGUGCCUAAGUUUCCUCAUCUGUAUUAGGCAAUAUAGCGAUAAGAAGUGGACCUCCUUCAAAGAGUGGUAUAGACUGUAUAAGGUAAUGCACAUGACUGCCGGACACACAGGCAGUUUGGGGGCUUUGUCAGAUGAGGCUAAAUUACCUUGCAGGAGCUUUUGCCAGGCUUCAUAGAGUGCUGGGCCCCUAAACCCCAAGCUCCCAGAGCCAGGCCCGGCACCCCCACCCCACACGGGAAGAGAAUGUCUCUGUGUCCUGACCCUUCAGUUCUGGCAGUGCCCAAACUCUGCUGGCCUUGACUUCAACUCUCCCAUUUCACAGAAGAGGAACCACAGAUGGAGGACCAGAGGGCACCCCAUCCCGGGGUCAUGCAGCCAGUCAAUGGUUGGGCCAGAAGUGGAAUCAGCCUCCUGCUUCCCCACCGCCCACAGCUCAGGCCUUUCCCAAAGGCGGCUGGCCGCAGAGCCGCUGACAAAGAGAAAAUAAUUAUUUUGGCAGCUGAGACAGAAGCCAGAGCCGGAAAGUCCUUGCUCACUUGGUGAGCAACGUCCAGCCCCGAGGAAUGAAGCCCGCCCAUCCUGCCUCGCAAAGGUACUCUGGCUCACGGCGCACACGCCUGUGUCCCUCUGACCCCAGCUACCCCGGUUGUUUGGUAUUGGGCUCAUGCAAAGGAGCAAACAGAACAGAGAGGGGAAGAUGCCUGUCCAAGGUCACACAGCAGGGGUACCACACUGUGGGGUCACCAGGAUAGGAACUCAGGGCUUGGUCGAGAAUUAACCCUUUGCCCAUGAGCCUGCACUGGACCCCUACCUGGUAACGAGAGAGGACCAGAAGGCUUGUCUUGACUGGAUUAUGCCUGGGAUACUUCUUUAGCCUUCAGUGAAAUACUGUGACGUAGAAAUUAAACUAGCACUUUCAAUUUACGCACAAGGCCUAGAGAAGUUCUAUAGCUUCCUAAGGUCACACACAAGUAAUAAGGAGCAAAUAAGUAACAAAAACAGAGCCGGGACAUGAGCGGGUGGUCUGCCCCCACUCGGGUUCUGCCCAUCACCAGUUGACCAGCCAGGGAGCCCACACCCUACCCAGUCGGCACUGGGCACUCAGCUCCCUGGGCCCUGUGUGCUGGGUCUACUCACACUGGCCAUCCAGACAGGCUGGGGGGCAGGUGGGGGAGCCAGACCCAGGCAGGGCUGUGAACACAGAGGCAGUAUCAUCCACCCCCAUGCCCAGCCCCAGAGUGCUCUUAGGUGAGCCUCACAGCUGGCAGGGGUUUGGCCACCUGGCGAGACCAAUGAGAGGUCCCGUCCUGGUCCCAGCCUGAGCAGACCACAACCACAAAGGACACAGAUCCACGUGGGUAACCGUUUUCUGCUUAAAAGCAUCUCUGCUUAACGGAGCAGUGCAUAGCCUGAGACUCAGGGUCGAGUGGGGUGGUGGGACCCGCCCAGUCUCCC
ensembl:lncRNA